rnacentral:lncRNA from 1 species
UUGGUUGCUUGUGAUCUUUUGACCAUCACAUAGACCAUAGCCUGUAGAGCCAUACUGAGUUGGACAGAGAUACGUACUAUUAGACUCGGUAGGGUCGUGUAAGGACUGAGAUUUUUAUUGCAGUGUUUAAACUCUCAGUUAGACGAUGUUAUGUGGAAUUUAAUUACAUAGCACCGUCAGUUUCAGAAGAAAAUGAGCUUAAAAUGGAAAGAUACGCGAUUUUUAGUUUUCACUUAAAGUGAAUAGUAACUCCAGUUUUCCGGAGAAGCCACCGGAGUAGAGUUGGCUUCUGGUGUGUUCGAACUCGUCAUCGCAGUCCAAUAGUUCGUUCGACCGGUUCAGCAUUCUGGAACUACUGGUGCUGAUGGGAUUUUGGAGUUUUACGCACGGAUUUCGAGAAAAUCAAAAAACAUGUUUUAAUGUAUUUAUGUGGUGUGUUUCCUUCUAUGUUUCGAAGAAGGUUGAGAUUUUUGUCCGUGAAUCCGUGGUCGAUCAGAUGCAAACGAAAUCGCAGCUUUGUUUCUCCGUCGUGCUGAUCGCACUGGUGACCGUUCGCAAAUCUGACGGACGGCAUCUGGCGGAUAUGAGCGUUGAUCGAGAGAGGUCGUGUUAGCAAAACGGUAUUUUCCAAAAAUAGUCGCGAUAUUUUGAUGUAACCGUUUCGCGUGAGAUCGCACGUGAGGGCUUCAUCGCGUUUAGUCAUACUGUGAGGGACUCGGAUUGAAAUUCGAUGUUUGAGGGGCUUUCUCGCUUAAGAUUGCACCGUAUAUAGUUGUUUUAGGGUUUGACCAUCUACCUAACCUAGCCUUGCCCCUAUCCCCUACCUGCCUCCCCCACAUCCCGACGCCUUCCCCCGCGGCCCCGGCCUCCUGAGCACCCCGCUGCCGAGCUCUCCCUCAUCCACCCCUUCAUCUUUCCUCCAUCUCUUUCUCUCUCUCCCUCUCUCCCUCGGGUUGUGUAAGGCCCGGGCUGCGCCUCCUGCAACUCCCCGGGAUCACCGUGCUCCUCGACGUCCGCGACCGUCGCCCAUCGCCGGUGCCGCGCUGCUGUGCUCCGGUCCUGCUGCAACCAGGCCCGAGCCUGGGCCGAGCGGGUUGCCGACAGCCGCCAGCGCGCCGCACCCGCCUAGAACCUCUGUCGACUCCUCCGUGCCGGCGCCCCUUCCCGCCGGUCGCCGCCGCCCCGACGCGCCGCCGUCGCCGCCUCGGCCAGCCGCGGCCGCCCCAGCCGAGCCCAGGUUGAUUCUUGUUUGCGGUCUCUUUCCCGCGCCGCCGCCGCUCGAGGCUGCCUCCUUCCUGCUCCUCUGGCCUCUGGGGACCCGCAGCCGACGUCCCCGACCUUCCCCGGCCGCCGCCGUGGCCGGAGAAACCCGCCGAGCCCGAGCUUCUCUCUUGCGGGCUCGGGUUGCUCCGCCGACGCCGCCGCCGCUUCUCGUCGCCAACCGAGGUGAGCACGGUGUUCCUCACCUCCCCCGCACCCGCCCCUGGCCCCCGCGUGCGCCGCCGUGCCGUCGGAAGCCGGCCGGAGCAAGGUUGCUCCGGCCAAGCCCGAAAUAGGACUUUGUUUGGGGUGUUUGUUGUUCUGGGCUUUCCGAGCCUCCCCGACCUCUACAGAAGGGAGCACGACGAUUCUGGGAAGUUGCUGAUCAUCGUGCUCACCUUGGUUUCUGUCGGGAAGGCUCCGUUCAGCUGUUUCGGCAUUGUCGACCCUGUAGAGCCUGUUUGGCUGCUGUUUUGGGUUUGCGCACGCUUAUCCGGCGAUCCGAGGCUGUCCUAAUGCCUCCGGAGGUGAGCACGGUGAUCGUUGGUCAGUGCUGAUCACAGUGCUCACCUCACUUUGGAUCAGCAGUGUCCGGUUAGCCCUGUUUAGCGCGAUCUUCCCCGACUGCGCGCUAUUUGCUGAACUUUCGGGUUGCUCCCGCGCUUCCCACAGCGAGCCGUUGUGCUCCGAAUCAUGAGCAUGGCCUCCGGUACGUCGAGACCUGUCAGUACGUGUCUCGGCCAAACUUAGAAGUCCUCAGUUUGUGAGAAUGAGUCAUAGAAGUCGCCAGAUUUAUAUAAAAUAAUGGAUUUUAUGUAAACACGGGGGCUUUUGUGCAAUUGUAUGCCUUGUGGCUACUGAGGGCAAUGUGUAUGAGUGUGUUUGACCUCUGGACUGGUUGUCCAUGACCCGAUAGUCUUUGCGGAAAUUGAAAAGUCGAUUCCGGCGCGUUUUUCGGCGAAAUUUGACGAAAGAACGCAGUUUCGGUUCGGAUUUCUUCCGACGUCGUUUGGUUGCUCUGUUAGUAGUCGCUAAGCCUUGUUGGCUGGUCACCAUCAUCACAUUGUGGGUUCGGUGAUGAUGGGUGAGCGACAGUGGGUUCCGGUGUCGAAAUAGACACUUUCGGGAACCCGGAUUCGUACAAUUAUCCGGCGAUAAUUGUGUAGUGAUGUUAUCUUGUGUUUGCUG